GAGCACUUGAUACUAACCGAGCCAUCUGUGUCCCAGGUCUUGUACAGAGAUCUGAGGUACACCUUGUGAUUGCUGGGUCUGAGAAGUGCAACAUUAAACAAGCCAUGCAGUAUUUAAGCUCAGUGUAUAAAGGAUAACACUGGGUUAUAACUCAGAGGCACAAAA
ensembl:scaRNA